GAGAUCACUCUUGGAAAGAAUACUAGAUUCUGCAGAAUGGAACAAAUACCUCCCUAUGGGGCCGUAGAGAGUAUUCAAUGAGAUCCAUUUCCAGAACAUACAUCCUGACACAAAGAAAACAUAUGAUAAGUGACAGCCAAGAAAAGUAGUAAUAACAGUCACCAGAAGAUAAAGAUCCCACUCUCAUGUCAUCACCUGCUAUUGGUCUGGAGUGUGCCAUGUAACCUGUCUGACCCUCAGGCUCCUCAGAGAUUUAAAAUGCUGCCAUACACAGAUGAGGAAUGUAAUAGUGGAAAAAGUUAUCCUAUGCCACAUUAUGGAGCUGCUUAUGCAAGAAAGUUAUGCUGCUUUCACCUUAAACACAAACAAGUACACACUAUAAGCUUUCUAGAAGAAUGCUUUUGUCUUGGUCUCCAAAAGAAUGGAGAAACUCUACAAUGACGCAGGUUGGCAUGGCCUUUCUUAGAAGAUUCCCUUCCCAAGUCACUAAAUAUGACUGAAGAAAAUAGAUACUUUUGCAUUGCCCACAUAACAAACACUUAAUGAGUAAUUGCUAAAAUAAAAUUGCGUUGUCAGCCA